rnacentral:ncRNA from 1 species
UUGACGGAGAGUUUGAUCCUGGCUCAGGACGAACGCUGGCGGCGUGCUUAACACAUGCAAGUCGAACGCUGAAGCUUGGUGCUUGCACUGGGUGGAUGAGUGGCGAACGGGUGAGUAAUACGUGAGUAACCUGCCCUUGACUCUGGGAUAAGCCUGGGAAACUGGGUCUAAUACUGGAUAUGACCUCCUGUCGCAUGGUGGGGGGUGGAAAGGGUUUGUACUGGUUGUGGAUGGGCUCACGGCCUAUCAGCUUGUUGGUGGGGUAAUGGCCUACCAAGGCGACGACGGGUAGCCGGCCUGAGAGGGUGACCGGCCACACUGGGACUGAGACACGGCCCAGACUCCUACGGGAGGCAGCAGUGGGGAAUAUUGCACAAUGGGCGCAAGCCUGAUGCAGCGACGCCGCGUGAGGGAUGACGGCCUUCGGGUUGUAAACCUCUUUCAGCACGGAAGAAGCGAAAGUGACGGUACGUGCAGAAGAAGCGCCGGCUAACUACGUGCCAGCA